rnacentral:rRNA from 1 species
AGCUCCAAUAGCGUAUACUAAAGUUGUUGCAGUUAAAAAGCUCGUAGUUGAAUUUCUGGGUGUAGCAGUCGGUCCGCUCUUAAUAGAGUGUGCACUAGAUUGCCGCGCCCUUCCUCGAGGAAAACACAUCUAACAUUCAGUUGUCGGGUGUGGGAUCCUCGUCAUUUACUGUGAGCAAAAUAGAGUGUUCAAAGCAGGCUUAGGCCGUUGAAUACAUUAGCAUGGAAUAAUAAGAUAAGACCUUGGUCUAUUUUGUUGGUUUGCAUUCCGAGGUAAUGAUUAAUAGGGAUAGUUGGGGGUAUUCGUAUUCAAUUGUCAGAGGUGAAAUUCUUGGAUUUAUGGAAGACGAACUACUGCGAAAGCAUUUACCAAGGAUGUUUUCAUUAAUCAAGAACGAAAG